rnacentral:rRNA from 1 species
AUUGCAGGCUGCAACUCGCCUGCAUGAAGUUGGAAUUGCUAGUAAUCGCGAAUCAGAAUGUCGCGGUGAAUACGUUCCCGGGCCUUGUACACACCGCCCGUCACACCAUGGGAGUCAGUAACGCCCGAAGUCAGUGACCCAACCAUAAAGGAGGGAGCUGCCGAAGGUGGGACCGAUAACUGGGGUGAAGUCGUAACAAGGUAUC